CUACCUACGGGAGGCAGCAGUGGGGAAUAUUGGACAAUGGGGGGAACCCUGAUCCAGCGACGCCGCGUGAGUGAAGAAGUAUUUCGAUAUGUAAAGCUCUCUCAGCAGGGAAGAAAAUGACGGUACCUGACUAAGAAGCCCCGGCUAACUACGUGACAGCAGCCGCGGUAAUACGUAGGGGGCGAGCGUUAUCCGGAUUUACUGGGUGUAAAGGGAGCGUAGACGGCGAAGAAAGACUGAAGUGAAAGCCCGCG
rnacentral:rRNA from 1 species